UCGCAAAGUCUCGCACCAUUCCGAGUCCGGCGGUCGAAGUUGGCCAGCCCCACCCCCCAAGGCUAUAGCCAACCCGUUUUUGUGGCCUUUUUCCGCUGGACGAACUUGGCGCCCCGGCUUUCGGGCGGUUAUUUUUGGGCGCAACGGUGCCUGCGGCCUAUUUUUGGCACACGGAGGCGCCUCGCAAAGUCUCGCGCCAUUCCGAGUCCGGCGGACGAAGUUGGCCAGCACCACCCCCCAAGGCUAUAGCCCGCCCGUUUUUGUGGGCUUUUUCCGCUGGACGAACUUGGCGCCCCGGCCUGCGGGCGGUUGUUUUUGGGCACGGCUGUGCCCGCGGCCUAUUUUUGCCACACAGAGGUGCCUCGCAAAGUCUCGCUCCAUUCCGAGUCCGGCGGACGAAGUUGGCCAGCCCCACCCCCCAAGGCUAUAGCCCACCCGUUUUUGUGGCCUUUUUCCGCUGGACAAACUUGGCGCCCCGGCUUUCGGGCGGUUAUUUUUGGGCGCGGCUGUGCCCGCAGCCUAUUUUUGGCACACGGAGGCACCUCACAAAGUCACGCGCCAUUCCGAGUCCGUCGGACGAAGUUGGCUAGAACCACCCCCAAAGGCUAUAGCCCGCCCGUUUUUGUGGGCUUUUUCCGCUGGACGAACUCGGCGCCCCGGCCUUCGGGCGGUUAUUUUUUGACGAGGCUGUGUCCGCGGCCUAUUUUUGGCACACAGAGAUGCCUCGAAAGGUCUCGCGCCAUUCCGAGUCCGGCGGACGAAGCUGGCCAGCCCCACCCCCCAAGGCUAUAGCCCACCCGUUUUCGUGGGCUUUUUCCGCUGGACGAACUUGGCGCCCCGGCCUUCGGGCGGUUAUUUUUUUGCGCGGCUGUGCCCGCGGCCUAUUUUUCGCACACGGAGGUGCCUCAUAAAGUCUAGCACCAUUCCGAGUCCGGCGGACGAAGUUGGCCAGCCCCACCCCCCAAGGCUAUAGCCCACCCGUUUUUGUGGGCUUUUUCCGCUCGACGAACUUGGCGCCCCGGCCUUCGGGCUGUUAUUUUUGGGCGCGGCUGUGCCUGCGGCCUAUUUUAUGCACACGGAGGCACCUCAUAAAGUGUCACGCCAUUCCGAGUCCGGCGGACGAAGUGGGCCCGCCCCACCCCCCAAGGCUAUAGCCCACCCGUUUUUGUGACUUUUUCCGCUGGACGAACUUGGCGCCCCGGCUUUCGGGCGGUUUUUUUUGGGCGCGACUGUGUCCGCGGCCUAUUUUUAGCACACGGAGGUGCCUCGCAAAGUCUCGCGCCAUUCCGAGUCCGGCGGACGAAGUUGGCCAGCCCCACCCCCCCAGGCUAUAGCCCACCCGUUUUUGUGGCCUUUUUCCGCUGGACGAACUUGGCGCCCCGGCUUUCGGGCGGUUAUUUUUGGGCGCGACGGUGCCUGCGGCCUAUUUUUGGCACAUGGAGGCGCCUCACAAAGUCUCGCGCCAUUCCGAGUCCGGCGGACGAAGUUGGCCAGCACCACCCCCCAAGGCUAUAGCCCGCCCGUUUUUGUGGGCUUUUUCCGCUAGACGAACUUGGCGCCCCGGCCUGCGGGUGGUUGUUUUUGGGCACGGCUGUGCCCGCGGCCUAUUUUUGGCACACAGAGGUGCCUCGCAAAGUCUCGCACCAUUCCGAGUCCGGCGGUCGAAGUUGNNNNNNNNNNNNNNNNNNNNNNNNNNNNNNNNNNNNNNNNNNNNNNNNNNNNNNNNNNNNNNNNNNNNNNNNNNNNNNNNNNNNNNNNNNNNNNNNNNNNNNNNNNNNNNNNNNNNNNNNNNNNNNNNNNNNNNNNNNNNNGCAAAGUCUCGCGCCAUUCCGAGUCCGGCGGACGAAGUUGGCCAGCACCACCCCCCAAGGCUAUAGCCCGCCCGUUUUUGUGGGCUUUUUCCGCUGGACGAACUUGGCGCCCCGGCCUGCGGGCGGUUGUUUUUGGGCACGGCUGUGCCCACGGCCUAUUUUUGCCACACAGAGGUGCCUCGCAAAGUCUCGCUCCAUUCCGAGUCCGGCGGUCGAAGUUGGCCAGCCCCACCCCCCAAGGCUAUAGCCAACCCGUUUUUGUGGCCUUUUUCCGCUGGACAAACUUGGCGCCCCGGCUUUCGGGCGGUUAUUUUUGGGCGCGACUGUGCCCGCAGCCUAUUUUUGGCACACGGAGGCACCUCACAAAGUCUCGCGCCAUUCCGAGUCCGUCGGACGAAGUUGGCUAGAACCACCCCCAAAGGCUAUAGCCCGCCCGUUUUUGUGGGCUUUUUCCGCUGGACGAACUCGGCGCCCCGGCCUUCGGGCGGUUAUUUUUUGACGAGGCUGUGUCCGCGGCCUAUUUUUGGCACACAGAGAUGCCUCGAAAGGUCUCGCGCCAUUCCGAGUCCGGCGGACGAAGCUGGCCAGCCCCACCCCCCAAGGCUAUAGCCCACCCGUUUUGGUGGGCUUUUUCCGCUGGACGAACUGGGCGCCCCGGCCUUCGGGCGGUUAUUUUUUUGCGCGGCUGUGCCCGCGGCCUAUUUUUCGCACACGUAGGUGCCUCAUAAAGUCUAGCACCAUUCCGAGUCCGGCGGACGAAGUUGGCCAGCCCCACCCCCCAAGGCUAUAGCCCACCCGUUUUUGUGGGCUUUUUCCGCUCGACGAACUUGGCGCCCCGGCCUUCGGGCUGUUAUUUUUGGGCGCGGCUGUGCCUGCGGCCUAUUUUAUGCAUACGGAGGCACCUCAUAAAGUGUCACGCCAUUCCGAGUCCGGCGGACGAAGUGGGCCCGCCCCACCCCCCAAGGCUAUAGCCCACCCGUUUUUGUGGGCUUUUUCCGCUAGACGAACUUGGCGCCCCAGCCUGCGGGCGGUUGUUUUUGGGCACGGCUGUGCCCGCGGCCUAUUUUUGGCACACAGAGGUGCCUCGCAAAGUCUCGCUCCAUUCCGAGUCCGGCGGUCGAAGUUGGCCAGCCCCACCCCUCAAGGCUAUAGCCAACCCAUUUUUGUGGCCUUUUUCCGCUGGACGAACUUGGCGCCCCGGCUUUCGGGCGGUUAUUUUUGGGCGCGACGGUGCCUGCGGCCUAUUUUUGGCACACGGAGGCGCCUCACAAAGUCUCGCGCCAUUCCGAGUCCGGCGGACGAAGUUGGCCAGCACCACCCCCCAAGGCUAUAGCCCGCCCGUUUUUGUGGGCUUUUUCCGCUGGACGAACUUGGCGCCCCGGCCUGCGGGCGGUUGUUUUUGGGCACGGCUGUGCCCGCGGCCUAUUUUUAGCACACAGAGGUGCCUCGCAAAGUCUCGCUCCAUUCUGAGUCCGGCGGUCGAAGUUGGCAGCCCCACCCC
rnacentral:lncRNA from 1 species